AGAGCCUGUGAAAUUAGCCAAGAUGACUGCCCGGAGAACCCACAUAAAUAUACACUUGCUCAAUUUUUAUUUUUAUUUUAUUAUUAUUAUUUUUUCUGAUUAAUUUAUGUGGCUGAUCAUAUAUACUAGGGAGAAAUGCAGGCAAGUCAUUCUUGGCUACUAAACAAACCUCUUU
rnacentral:pre_miRNA from 1 species